GUCCGAAAUGAGGCGCUGGGGAAGGAGCCGGGAAUGGCAGCGGCCUGGGGAACAGACAAACCCUCCAAGAUUUAACUUCCUCAGAAACCAGCAGCAGAGCAGGUGGAGGAGGAGGCGAGGAUGUGCCAGCACGCACCGAGUUUCUUUGGCAAGGAAAGUCAGUGAUGCACAUUGGAUCGUCACUUCGCAGGAUGUUUCUGGUUGAAGCUGAGGCAGUUACUCCAUCUUGAGACGCCCACGAAACUCCAAGGUUUUA